rnacentral:rRNA from 1 species
CUAGACUGUUACUGACACUGAUGCUCGAAAGUGUGGGUAUCAAACAGGAUUAGAUACCCUGGUAGUCCACACAGUAAACGAUGAAUACUCGCUGUNUGCGAUAUACAGUAAGCGGCCAAGCGAAAGCAUUAAGUAUUCCACCUGGGGAGUACGCCGGCAACGGUGAAACUCAAAGGAAUUGACGGGGGCCCGCACAAGCGGAGGAACAUGUGGUUUAAUUCGAUGAUACGCGAGGAACCUUACCCGGGCUUAAAUUGCAACAGAAUAUAUUGGAAACAGUAUAGCCGUAAGGCUGUUGUGAAGGUGCUGCAUGGUUGUCGUCAGCUCGUGCCGUGAGGUGUCGGCUUAAGUGCCAUAACGAGCGCAACCCUUAUCUUUAGUUACUAACAGGUCAUGCUGAGGACUCUAGAGAGACUGCCGUCGUAAGAUGUGAGGAAGGUGGGGAUGACGUCAAAUCAGCACGGCCCUUACGUCCGGGGCUACACACGUGUUACAAUGGGGGGUACAGAAGGCAGCUACACGGCGACGUGAUGCUAAUCCCAAAAACCUCUCUCAGUUCGGAUCGAAGUCUGCAACCCGACUUCGUGAAGCUGGAUUCGCUAGUAAUCGCGCAUCAGCCAUGGCGCGGUGAAUACGUUCCCGGGCCUUGUACACACCGCCCGUCAAGCCAUGAAAGCCGGGGGUACCUGAAGUACGUAAACGCAAGGAGCGUCCUAGGGUAAAACUGGUAAUUGGGGC